rnacentral:rRNA from 1 species
AUACAGAGGGUGCAAGCGUUAAUCGGAUUUACUGGGCGUAAAGCGCGCGUAGGUGGCUAAUUAAGUCAAAUGUGAAAUCCCCGAGCUUAACUUGGGAAUUGCAUUCGAUACUGGUUAGCUAGAGUAUGGGAGAGGAUGGUAGAAUUCCAGGUGUAGCGGUGAAAUGCGUAGAGAUCUGGAGGAAUACCGAUGGCGAAGGCAGCCAUCUGGCCUAAUACUGACACUGAGGUGCGAAAGCAUGGGGAGAAAACAGGAUUAGAUACCCUGGUAGUCCAUGCCGUAAACGAUGUCUACCAGCCGUUGGGGCCCUUGAGGCUUUAGUGGCGCAGCUAACGCGAUAAGUAGACCGCCUGGGGAGUACGGUCGCAAGACUAAAACUCAAAUGAAUUGACGGGG